ACACAUACAGCAGUAUGUGUGUAUGUAUGUAUGUAUGUGUGUGUGUGUAUAUAUAUACACACACACAUACAUACAUACAUAUACACACACACAUA